GACGAACGCUGGCGGCGUGCUUAAUACAUGCAAGUCAACUGAACUUGAGGUAGCAAUAUCACAAGAGAGGUGGCGCACGGGUGAGUAACACGUAGGUAAUCUGCCUUUAGGUCUGACAUAAUUCCGCGAAAGCGGGACUAAUAUCAGAUGAUGCAGCGGCUCGACAUCGAGACAGUUGUUAAACCUUCGGGGCCUAAAGAUGAGCCUGCGUCUGAUUAGGUAGUUGGCGGAGUAAAAGCCCACCAAGCCUGCGAUCAGUAGCUGGUCUGAGAGGAUGAUCAGCCACACUGGAACUGAGACACGGUCCAGACUCCUACGGGAGGCAGCAGUAAGGAAUAUUG
rnacentral:rRNA from 1 species